ACGCGUAUUCUUGGGUUACUAACACGCUGUUUAUGUUGUUAUUGCUUGAGAAUACACGUAG
rnacentral:pre_miRNA from 1 species